rnacentral:rRNA from 1 species
GUGAGGAAUUUUCCGCAAUGGGCGAAAGCCUGACGGAGCAAUGCCGCGUGAAGGAUGAAGGCCUAUGGGUUGUAAACUUCUUUUCUCAGAAAAGAAUUAUGACGGUAUCUGAGGAAUAAGCAUCGGCUAACUCUGUGCCAGCAGCCGCGGUAAGACAGAGGAUGCAAGCGUUAUCCGGAAUGAUUGGGCGUAAAGCGUCUGUAGGUUGUUUAAAAAGUAUUCUGUCAAAGAUUAGGGCUUAACCCUAGAUAGGCAGAAUAAACUUUUAAGCUAGAGUUUGGUAGAGGCAGAGGGAAUUCCCGGUGGAGCGGUGAAAUGCGUAGAUAUCGGGAGGAACACCAAAGGCGAAGGCACUCUGCUGGGCCAAUACUAACACUGAGAGACGAAAGCGAGGGGAGCAAAUGGGAUUAGAAACCCGGGUAGUCA